rnacentral:rRNA from 1 species
GGUUUGAUCAUGGCUCAGAUUGAACGCUGGCGGGAUGCUUUACACAUGCAAGUCGAACGGCAGCACGGACUUCGGUCUGGUGGCGAGUGGCGAACGGGUGAGUAAUGUAUCGGAACGUGCCUAGUAGUGGGGAUAACUACGCGAAAGCGUAGCUAAUACCGCAUACGCCCUUCGGGGGAAAGCGGGGACCUUCGGGCCUCGCACUAUUAGAGCGGGCCGAUAUCGGAUUAGCUAGUUGGUGGGGUAACGGCUCACCAAGGCGACGAUCCGUAGCUGGUUUGAGAGGACGACCAGCCACACUGGGACUGAGACACGGCCCAGACUCCUACGAAGUGGCAGCAGUGGGGAAUUUUGGACAAUGGGGGAAACCCUGAUCCAGCCAUCCCGCGUGUGCGAUGAAGGCCUUCGGGUUGUAAAGCACUUUUGGCAGGAAGAAACGGCACGGGAUAAUACCCGUGCAACUGACGGUACCUGCAGAAUAAGCACCGGCUAACUACGUGCCAGCAGCCGCGGUAAUACGUAGGUGCAAGCGUUAAUCGGAAUUACUGGGCGUAAAGCGUGCGCAGGCGGUUCGGAAAGAAAGAUGUGAAAUCCCAGAGCUUAACUUUGGAACUGCAUUUUUAACUACCGAGCUAGAGUGUGUCAGAUGGAGGUGGAAUUCCGCGUGUAGCAGUGAAAUGCGUAGAUAUGCGGAGGAACACCGAUGGCGAAGGCAGCCUCCUGGGAUAACACUGACGCUCAUGCACGCGCGUGGGGAGCAAGCAGAGCUGGAUACCCCGGUAGUCCACGCCCUAAACGAUGUCAACUAGCUGUUGGGGCCUUCGGGCCUUGGUAGCGCAGCUAACGCGUGAAGUUGACCGCCUGGGGAGUACGGUCGCAAGAUUAAAACUCAAAGGAAUUGACGGGGACCCGCACAAGCGGUGGAUGAUGUGGAUUAAUUCGAUGCAACGCGAAAACCUUACCUACCCUUGACAUGUCUGGAAUCCCGAAGAGAUUUGGGAGUGCUCGCAAGAGAACCGGAACACAGGUGCUGCAUGGCUGUCGUCAGCUCGUGUCGUGAGGUGUUGGGUUAAGUCCUGCAACGAGCGCAACCCUUGUCAUUAGUUGCUACGAAAGGGCACUCUAAUGAGACUGCCGGUGACAAACCGGAGGAAGGUGGGGAUGACGUCAAGUCCUCAUGGCCCUUAUGGGUAGGGCUUCACACGUCAUACAAUGGUCGGGACAGAGGGCCGCCAACCCGCGAGGGGGAGCCAAUCCCAGAAACCCGAUCGUAGUCCGAUCGCAGUCUGCAACUCGACUGCGUGAAGUCGGAAUCGCUAGUAAUCGCGGAUCAGCAUGUCGCGGUGAAUACGUUCCCGGGUCUUGUACACACCGCCCGUCACACCAUGGGAGUGGGUUUUACCAGAAGUAGUUAGCCUAACCAGGCGAGGGCGAUUACCACGGUAGGAUUCAGACUGGGGUGAAGUCGCAACAAGGUAG